rnacentral:rRNA from 1 species
UACGUAGGCCGCGAGCGUUGUUCGGAGUUACUGGGCGUAAAGGGUGUGUAGGCGGUUGUUUAAGUUUGGUGUGAAAUCUCCCGGCUCAACUGGGAGGGUGCGCCGAAUACUGAAUGACUUCGAGUGCGGGAGAGGAGAGUGGAAUUCCUGGUGUAGCGGUGAAAUGCGUAGAUAUCAGGAGGAACACCGGUGGUGUAGACGGCUCUCUGGACCGUAACUGACGCUGAGACACGAAAGCGUGGGUAGCAAACAGG